GGAGGCCAUUUCCCGAACUUGGGGUGGUGAAUGUAUUUAGGAGGAAGAGGUGGAAACUUUGGAAGUGGUGGGAGCUGUGGAAGUGGCGGACAUGGCUUCUUUGGAAUCACCACUACCGGUGGUUUGUAUACUGGUACCGGCGGAGGGCAUGGCUUCUUGGGGAUCACAACCGGUGGUUUGUAUAUUGGUACCGGCGGAGGACACGGCUUCUUCACAAUUGGUGGUAUGUAGAUUGGUGGAUGCUCUAUCUUCGGCGGCGGCUUGUAAACCGGAACUGGAGGUGGGUGCUCUAUCUUCGGCGGUGGAAUGACUAUCUUUGGCGGCGGCUUGUGGACUGGAACCGGCGGUGGAUCAACUUUCUUAGGCGGACAAGGCUUCUUCGUUGGUGGUUUGUGGACUGGCACCGGCGGUGGAUCAACUUUCUUAGGCGGACAUGGCUUCUUCGGUAGCUUGUGUACCGGAACGGGAGGUGGGUGCUCUAUCUUUGGCGGGGGCUUGUAAACCGGAACCGGAGGUGGCUUCUCUAUCUUUGGCGGUGGCUUGUAAACCGGAACCGGAGGUGGGUGCUCUAUCUUCGGCGGUUUAGGUGGACAAGGCUUCUUAGGAAUAGGCGGUGGAAGCUCCACCUUUGGUGGUGGCUUGUAAACUGGGACAGGUGGUGGAACCUCUUUCUUAGGCGGUGGAUCGUAAACCGGAACCGGCGGGGGAAUCUCUUUCUUUGGCGGCGGCUCGUAAACUGGUACCGGGGGUGGAACCUCCACAGGAGGACUGUAUUUAGGUGGACAUGGCUUCUUGAGAAACGGUGGAAGUUCCAAAGGUGGAGGUAAAGGGAAAGGAUGAUCAAAGCCCUUAAAAGGAGGCAACUUAGGCAUAGGCCAGAAGAAUUUGGAAACGCAAAUCUCCGGUGAAAAUUUCAGAUUUUGUUUGAGACCCAAAAUGUGUUUAUCCCCGGAUUUGGAUAAAAACACGAUCUUGGUGGACUCAAGGCCGUCGUGAGCCGGACAAGGUGUUCCCGCCGCGCUGUGAAGCUGAGCGUAACACUCCUCCUUUAACGCUCCGUUGUCGGAGACAAUGUCAUGAGGAAUAUUAAGACCAAACUUUCCUUUGUCGUCAAUGUUUCCCGAACCUUUUGUAACAAAAUGGCCUUUAUUCACCUUACAGUCGAUCGUCACUCGAAGUCCUAUAACAAAUAAUAUCACACAUUGAUCAAAUAUAUAUUCACAAAAAAAUAAACUAUAUAGUACAUAAGAUAUUAAUGUAAGUUAUGAGAUACCUGAAAAUGCAUGGGGGGUUUUGAUCUUGCUCUCGGCGUAACCGACAACUUCGACGACACGAGCGAGUGAGAGAGUCGCUGAUAAGAGAACCGACACAAGAAGGAGAAGACACGGAACCGAACCUCGAGGUUCGGGUAAGAUCCUCAUUGGGAUUCUCACCCUCUGAGAUUUCUGACACACUUCCCUUUCGUUUGCUGAAAAUAUAAAGAUUAUAAGAAGAACAAAAACAAACUAUAGAGUAUUAGUGGGGAAGGUGAUGAUAUGAUUAUAGUGAGACUUCUUCUCGUUUAUAUAAUGGUCUUAUCAAAGAUUUUUCUGAAGAUUGAUCGUAAUAAUUACUUCCGAAUUAAUUAACGUUUAGUUUUUUUUUUUUUUACCAACAAUAAUUGGAUUCGGCGGUUCCUAUUAUUUUGUAUUGUGUAUCAUUUAUUUAAUGUCGUCAUGGUCCAUCUUCUCGUUGUUACUUUCGUCUAUGCGGCACUUUAUGAUAUUUUUCAUGCAGGGUGGUUGAAACACAUUGACUUUUUUUUCCUUAAUACGACAACGGCAUUCAAAUUUUAUUUUUUGUUUCCCUCAUCAACGUUAUUGCACGAGACAUAUGCGUACAACUUUUGACACACGAAACUUUUGAUCCGCAAAUAUGGUUAAUUUUAUUGUUAUAGAGAUUGCAGGAUGAGCAUGCAUAUACUUUUUUUUUGUUUCACACACACGCUAUGGUUGAAAAAAGAAACUGAAUUAAUCAGUGCGUGUAUACGGCUCCACCAACCCAAAAUUGAAGCGGAUCACAUUAUGGUUAGAAGAGAAACUUAAAUGUUUUUAUGGAAAAAAUAUAGUCAGUCACACUACUUGUCGGCUUAUAUUUCUUGUCCACUCCGUAUAUAUUUAAGUAAUUAUUUUACCGGAAAUCCAUUACAAUGCUAACAAAUAUUCUUAACAUUUGCAGUUAUGCACGCCAUGAUAUCUACUGUUUUAACCGUAUAUACAUAACAAUAAAAUAAAGUAGCUAGUAGUAAUAAACUAACGAAAUUUGUCAGAGAAGAGGACUGAUAUGAUUUAUUGGCAUUUGGUUAGAUGGAGAUAGAAGUUAAUAUCUAUCAUCAAUCUACUUCGUCUCUGAAGUUAAUUGGCAAGGCCCUUCAAUAAAAGCAGCCAGCUCAAAAGCCUACUAGUAUUUGUUCCUUUUUCUUUUUUUUUUCUGGACAAGCUAAGCUAACUACUAUUUGUUCAUUUUAAUUUGAUGAAAAGUGUAUACGUAAACGUUUGAUUACUAAAUCUCGUUUUGUUCGAAAUGAAUAGAAGAGUUAAAGAACACUUAUGGAAUAUGAGAACGUAUCAACUUGAUAACAAAUAAGAACGCAUAGCACUUUUACAAAUUCAACUUUAUAUAUAGUACAAGAAUUCAGCUACAUAUGUAUCGCCGUAAUUUUCUCUGAAAACUAUUAUAUAUUGUUUUUACACAAAUGACCGAUAUCAAAUGUUGAAAUUCAAAACUUUCACCCACUCUUCAUUGCUAGUUGCUACUAAAUCCUUACACGUUCUUAUGCAAAAUUAGCAAUAUUAUCUGAUGUCGCAAAAUUGACAUGAUGCAUAUAUAUAUGGGUGCAUGCAAUGCAAUAGCUAGUCCGACUUUCGAAUCGAGAGACGACCUGAUUAGAUAUAUAAAAAGAUAAACUACAGUCCUGACUGCGUUCUAGGUGUUAGAAACUUACAACGCGAACUAGAAAUACAGAAUUGAGGAUUAUAUGUGAACGAUAUCAUAAUGUUGGUUGCCAUAUUAAAAGCUACACCUACUCAUCCACGCCCAUUAAUACGGUGGCUUUGGACAGUUGUACAAUAAGAGGUUCAAGUUUAAAGUUAUUAUUGUAUAUUCAUUUUCUGGUAUACAGAAGAAAUAUAUACUUUCAUAAUGUACACAUAAUCGCUAAUAAGGCCCAUUCUUAAAUGUACGUAAAAACAUGUAUUCAAUAGCCUAAUUGUGUAGAUGGUGAGUGUAUAUAGUCGAUCGGGGUAUAACCUAUAGCGACUAUCUAUGCUUCCUUUAUAAAAAUAAAUAUAUGAUCGCUAAUUUAAGCAAAAACAGAUGUGUCUUAUGGAAAAUUCUUUUUCCAAUAGAUAUCUAAUUAUAUAGAGCUUAACUUUUUUUUUUUAUAUUGCAUUUUGCUUUAUGUAUACUAUUAUGAUGUAUAAUAACAUAGUUAAAUAUGCUAUUUAUAAUGAAAACACAACCUUAUCGUGUGUUUUAGCAAAACAAAUCACAAAUUGUCUGUACACAAAAAAUGUUUUUUUUUCAAAACAUUCAGAGUUAAAAUUACAGUAUGUGAUAAAACACUUGAAAGUUAUGUGCGUAUAAAACAAUCAAUGUAUAAUAUAUAUGGAUUUUACAGCCCUAUGUAUAAGAAAGAUAAACCCUAUAUAUAUUAGGUAGCAAACUAGCAAUAAUAAAUGAAGUGAGAAAGAAAAAAAGUAGCAAGAAAAUAAAAAGAUCUAAUUUUUGGGCAACCAAGGAUAUAGUCCCACAUGGUGUGAGUUUUGCGAUAUUAGUUUUGUUAGGUGACAUGCGAUAAAUAUGUGAACUGUAUAUGGUUCCCCACAUUGAUUAAAUCGAAAAUUGUUUUAUGUAUGUAUGAAAAUUUGUUUUUUUUCUCUCCAUAUGUAUGAGGCGUACGUAAAAAUAUCCCGACGAAUGCAGAUCUGGAUGUUGACAUAUUCUCUGAAUAUACAGUUACAUUGUUUAUAAAAACUCACAUAGAUAUAUUGAAUGUAAAGGACAAAAGGACCCAGAGAUUUUUACUACUUGUAGAAGUAAAACACAAAGGUUGGUGUCCAGAAUUGUACGGAUGGAUUGAAAAUGUGCGAAAUAAUAUAUAAAUGCUACUUAUCUAACAAAAGUAAAACAAUGUUGAUACAUCUUAUAUCUGACAAUGUCACCAUGGGUGCAAUGAAUUCGAAUUCAUACCCAACUCGAAGCUAUAUGUACCAAAACAAAAUCGACUGAGGUUAUUCAAGUCAUUUUUUAUUUAAUCAUGUAACUCAAUUUGUUGGAAAGUUAAUAUUAAUUUUUGAAUAGAGACAAAUCUUUUCAGUCUAAUCAUUAACAAUUUGCAAACUCAAUAUACACCAUACAUCCAAAAAAGUCUUAAGCAAAAGAGUCAUCACGAUCGAGGUCACCAUCCUCCUCCAUUUUGCUGAACUGGAGGAAAUGAGUGGGUCGAUGGACUUGGUGAUAGUAUUCCUUGGGGGUUCCGAGUGUCAAGCUGUAGUUUAUGCUCACCGUGUGAUUCGCUCCCAUGAAGUUGUAGUUCCAGGGUCCGUUCUCAGGAACCUAUCAUUCAACAAUGUCUCAUUAUUUCAGUGCUAUAUAAUAAAAUAAUAUCUAUCAAUCAAGGGCAAACACACAAAAAUCAAGGGGUUACUGUGUGUUCUCACCAUGUAGAACCCGAAGAAACGGUCACUCAAGAGCAUUUGGACCUUCUCGUAGUGGGUGGGAAGGUAACCGUGGGGAUUGCUGCCUGUGUCUUUGUUCAGCCGUCCCCAUUCAUAUCCGGCUUGCGUCAGCUUAUAUGACGUCAAAGAGCAUGAGCCCGGAGUGAAACUACAUGUCAGGAUGAUGCAUUUUUCUGCGUCCCAUUGCUUGUUGUUCUCCAGAACACGAGUGUGAAAAGUCACAUCCUACAGCAGCACAAAAAAAACCCAGUUAUUACGUGUAAAAGUUCGUAAGAAAGUAUAAAUAUAUAUGCAUACCUGUGGUGACAACUGAGGAAGCUCGUUAGGCUGUGUGUGUAUCCAUCCCAGGGGCUCUAAAUCAUCCAAGAACUGAUGUUCCGGAAGAGACGACGGCAGUUGAACUUGCUGGUGAUUUCCGCAUUGUGGCACCAUCACAACACAACGGAUUUCCUUCACUUGAGGAUUAUCCGGCGGACUUAUCCCAUAUAAAUAUCCAGCAAUUUGAGUUCGAAGAUCCGCUAUGCAUAUAAACUUCUUCAAUAUGUUCUUUGGCAUGAUGUAGGUGUAUCCAGUUUCCUGUGAACAACAAACAAAUAAGUUUUAGGGACUUUACUUAUUAAUUUGAAUAAGCAAGUCUGAGCGAAUUACCUUUAUGUCAUCUGAGUUCACGUAGAUGUGGUUGACCCUGAGGUAGAGGUUAGUAGCUGAAAUUGCGCGCACACGCCAGUCUGUUUUGGAUCCGAAUGCAGAUUGCUCGUACGGACUAAUGGUGGUGCUAAUCAAUUCAUCACCAUGAACAUUUGUGGUUCUUGUUGUGACUGCAGUAAGCUGGCUCGCUUCCUUUGCCUGCAGGAGGAAACAUAUUCUUUUUAGAGUAACCAAAAUAAAUCUAAUUUCUGAAUGUCCCUGUUUCAAGAACCCUUGAGAGAAGUGACAGUUACAAGUACCUGUUUCUCAAUCUCAGCUAUCUGUUGCCUCUGCUGAGACGGUGGAGUAAUCUCCGCUCCAAGUAUUAUAUCUCUUAUCUCUGAUUGUGUCAGAGCUGAUGUAUUUACUUUGUUCUUCUUCGCGUAGUCGGAAAGGAUGAGAUCUCUAAGAGCAACCUCCACCUGAAUGUAACAAUGAAUCAUCUGAUGUGAGUAAGGAAGGAGGAUAACAACUUCACUAAACAAAGAAAAGAGUUACUUGAUUUUUAUUCAAAAAUAAGUAGAAACUGCAGAUGAAAAGACCAAGCGGUCUAAUCAGAAAAUACAACGGAACACUACUUGAAAGGUGGCGCAAGGGUUACCUUCAUCCAUUGGUCGUCAGUGAGAGAAGGCCAAAUGUGAUUUGGCUCAGUGACAACAGACAUGUCAGGCUUCAAUAACAUCUUUGCCUUCUCAUUGUUUACGUGAAGAGCACGAAGGAUCAGGAUGAGUCUUUGAAAGGCAGUGUACGAAGAAACAGUCAUCAACCAAUCAUCAUAGAUAUUGAAGAGGGCCAUCUGCGGCUCUGUGGCCUUCAAAAUCAGAUCACCAAAUUUUUCUAUCUUAAGACAAGCCUGGAACGGAAGCUGGAGUUCACUUCCCUUUAUAACAAUGUUUGGGAAAUCCAGCAGAUGAACCUCAAGGGGAUCCAACAUUCCUUUACGAGUCACAAUAACUUGUUUUGGCUGUUCUUCAACAGGGAGAGACCGCACAAGUGCAGCGACCUCUUCAGCAGUUUUCCAUUUUGCAAGCUGACCAAGGCGCUUCUGCCCAGCCCAAACGCUUGUAUGAAUGAUCUAGUGAGACAAAGAUCCCCAAUGGGUGUUAUUAUAGUUUUUUCAGAUAAAACAGCGGCUACGUAUUACAAUACAUUUACAUGUUACUAGUGGAAUUUAUGGGAGAGAAAAUUACCUUAAGGAAUAGUUGCCCUGUUCUUGGGUUGAAAAUAAAAAUCACACCAUUGAUUGGCUUUGUUGUUAGAUUUCCUUCAAAUGUCUUGUGGAUUGUGACACGGUAUACAUUGGUAUCAUCAACAAACCAUAUGAUCUGAUUGCUGAAUAUUUCACCAUAGUUUUGAGAUGACAGAUAUGGCUCUGUAGGCUCAGAUGAGUACAACUGCAAACCUUUCCUUAUCCUCUCUCUCAACACGUAUAGAGCGGGAUUUGACUGUAACAUUUAAAGUUUACACAAUAAGAGUCACAUAUGUAAAAGCCAAAUAAAAAUAAGCACACCACGAAUAGAAGUUCUAGUACCUUCAUGAUCUUGUUCAUUGCUUGAGCAAGCAGAGGUUUGGAACCAGGGAACCAAUUACCAAAGGCGGAAUGCAAGUUGUAGGCCAAAUCAAGCCCAAUAAUUACACCUGCGAUGAUUUCAUCAGGAUAUGAGACUUACUGCAGAAAAAAAUAAAUUGACAAACUGAAAAAGGCUAUUAAGUACCCGUUGGAGAUGGAUAGAUAGACAUGUUGUCCGUUGUGUAAUCCAUGAAUUUGGCCUUAGUAUAGCGUUCAAUAUCAUGGGAGUCAUAAUCUCCCCAUCGAAGUUGCACAUCUAUCCAGUACUUGUUACUCGCUUUCUGAUCAAACACAUCCUUGGACUCAGCGAUUAGACUAGGCUUAGACAUUGGCCAUUUAUGGGCAGCAAACAGAAGAACAUCAGCACAAGAGCUAUUCAUUUUGUAACUCUUCCGUGGAUGAAUUGUCUCUUUCUGCACAGUUUCUAUCUCCAAAGGUUCCAACUCUUGAUCCAGUACUUGGCAAAGGUCCAUAACAACACUCUCAUGGAUUUUUUGCCACAAAUGAGCACGGAAUAUCUGAAUCAAAGAUAUUUUAAGAGUAGGAAUCUUUCCGUGCAUAUAUAUUCCUGUCAAAUCCAACUGCACUUGGAAACCCACAUACACAUUCGCUCGAUUAAUUGUUGGCGACCACCAGAGCGUGAAUCUUCUAUUCGGAAUCUGGUUCAGACCAGACCUCUGUGCAUUUGUCAGUUUCUUAUAUUUCAUAGACUCCUCAAAACCAGAUGCCUUCUCCCAAAAAAGACCCUCCCAAGUUGGAAAGCUGGAUUCAUGUAAAGAAAAUUAUUUUAGCAAAAUUGAUACGGAAAGCUGUGAGCAACAAAACAUCAAAUGUCAAUGUGAAAGAAAGAACAUAAUAAAUUGAGCACGAACGAAAAGCAAGACUCACUAUGUUCCUUUAAAUAAGGUGUGCUCAAGAAUACCCUCAACACCUCCAAGAGCUUGGAUGACAUCAGUUCGGUAAUUGUUCAAGUUCCACAAUUUACCAUCAUGCCUCUGGUGUGUCCACCAGAAAGGAUUUUGUUUCAGGGCUUGGUACUGUUUGAAGUCGGUCCGGACCCUCCAACCUUUAUCAUAUGCUAAAGUGUGCCUAUCCUUCUGGAACAGCGUAUUUAUACGCGGAAUUCCCCUAUCCCAAGAGUCCUGUCAAAUAUUUUUUAACAUGAGUUAUUAUACUCUAAAAAUUAAACAUCAAGACUUCCCAAUCAAACUUUUAUUCUACCUUGUCGAUCUCCAAAAGAGAACAAGGCAACACUUAGAUAUCCUCUAAAAAUCCCUACAUCAAGUAGUUGACACACACAAAAAGCUACUUAAAGACCAGCAAAAGAGGAUAAAGCUAGCAAACUGAUAUCUUCUCAGAACUAUAAACUACGUAAAGAGGCAACAAAAUCACGAGUAAAAUACUUACUUCCAGAUCCUCCAGCGUCAGACGUCUAUUUUGGGCCUGAGCUUCCUGCCUCUUCAAAGCAUACUCUGCCCACACCCGCUGUGAAUCAAUAAAUUCGCUUUCCCAUGGUUGUAUGUAACGGUAAAGAUUAGGAAUCAGUUGAUCCUCCUCGUGGCUCAUUCCACUCCUGAAAUGGCUUACACCAACAUCUGUCUGGUUGCUGUACCGAAGGUCACUUUGUGGGAUCAAAAUAUGACCCAUAGACAACAUCCCAAGCCCGCCAAUUUCUUUCGGAGUGUAGAAGAUAACAGGAGGAAAUCUACCAAGGAAAAGAUGAACAAUCAGGUUUAAAAAACAUAACAUACAACUAUGAUACGUCAAACACAAUAUAGUAAGAUAGCAUUUGCUCACCGACUAGGCAUCUUUGAGUUUAGCCCAAUCUUAACCCUCGUUUGGAUUUUAUUUUCACAUUUAACAAGCAGAUCCAAGAGCUCUUGCGUAUGCACAGUGGCUUCACGGAAGUAAGUCAUGAGGCCUGUAUAAAACAAAUAAACGUGCUCAGCUUCAUGCUAGCCAAACAUUAUUAAACGUAAUCAGUACUGCCAAAAGAAAGGCGUACUACAGGAUAUACCUAUCAGAGCUGUAUUCCAUUUAUUGACGAUUUUGGUAAAUGUGGUUGACCCUGACGACAUAAGAAUCUGCCUCACACGAUUCUCAAACACCUUCAUGUGUUCAUCAUCAGCCCGCAGAAAAGCAACUGCAGUCCUCUCUUUAGUUUGUUCAUUCUGCAGAUUCCAGACACCAUCCCUUGUGCUGCUAAAAGCUUCUUGACCCAUCCUGAUUUUUGGAAGCACGCGGACUUCAAAUCCACACCUGCAGGCAAGAAUGCAAACCCCAGUCACUAUUUAAGCUGCACUAUCAAACAAUGACAAAAACAAAGGCCUAGCACUAAUGUACAAGAGCCACUAGAAAACUGAGACAAAACGCAUACAUGCUGAAAAGCAAGUUUGGAUUAUCCUUGCUGUACACGGAGACGAAGCCAUUCUCCCACUCCAAGGUUGUGAUGCUCCGUGGAAGACGAUUCUUCAUAUCCCAGAAGACACUUCUACCAAGAUUGACUGCAAGAUAAAUAAAUAAUGAGACAACAUCUGGUGCAUAAUGAUAGUCUAUCUAAAUAUAAAAAGGAGCAUACCAUCAUGUUUCAUUAACCUCAUCCUUGCAUCUCUUGGCCAGCAUUUUUUAUUGUUAUAUCCCACCAUGUUUUCAUUGUUGGGAUCAGGACGCUCGGUGAGAUGACGUUGAAUAAGAUCCCUAGCCUCUUCAUGGGUAAAUUUAAACAUUAUAUGCACUUUGUCUAUAUACCGAGAAUACAGUCUUAUGGGAUGGCGUGUCUCAACUUUUGUAUCCCAGUAGGUCAUAAACUCAUUAGGCCUCUGCGGUGGCCCGGCAAUUUCACUUGCUCGAGUCAAACCAAGGAGCAAAAGAUCUAACACUAGUCCAUAAAACUGAACAACAAACGAUGCGAACUGCAGUCCCCUAAUGAGUCCAUACGUAUUAGUAUAGCUCAUAUCCUUGUAAGACAGCACCACGUUAUUCUUGCCAGUCACAUAGUUUGCAAGCUUGGGAUCAAGAACCAAACGAAGAAGGCUGAAAGAAACAACAAAAAAGACGUGUUACUACAGAAAGUCUAAGUUCUAUGUCUGUAAUCACAUAAGCAUUUCACAGAGAGAUACCUGUUCAACACUGUCAAAUCAAUCUUCUCAAAGAGUUUUUCAAACUUCGUCUGGAGCAUCACUACACACUGACCAUCACUAGUGUCCCAUAUGCCUUGCAAAUUAUUGAUACCUUGACACCAUUUGUAAACCAGGAGCGGUGGCGGCUCUGAGUCUGCAGGCUUAAUCCAAUUGGGAAACAAGUGGCGCUUGUCACCCUCAUACCACAAAUACUGAUCAAGAUAAGCAUCAGUAAUUUUCUCCAGGGGAUCAAUUUGAUAGACUGGAAUCAAAUGGCUAUAUAGAUCCAUAAACUCUAUGCCAACCUGCAGAAAAAAAUAAUGUAUUCACCAUCAGAAUAACAUAGUAACCUUGAGAUCUAUAUGUUCAGAAAACUGCUCCAGAAUAGGUGCAUUAUCAACUUACUUCUUUGAAGCUAUGCUGAGUGAGAAGAUGACGCUUUAUUCGCAUCAGAGCUUCAUGAGGAUUGUCAUAAGCUUGUUCAAUUAAACCAAGCUCUUCUCUCUGCUGUUGAUUCAACUUCACAGCUGCACUAUAUGAUUCUUUCAGUCUCUCAAGGGCCAAGAUAAGCAACUUUGUGUCAUGUUUAUAUGAUAAUGGAGGGAAUGGGAUUGCUGAAAAUUUUCUAGAUUCCAGCCAAUUUACAGUGGUGCUAUAAAUUGCAAUUCCUUCAUCCGCUGUGACAUAUGGACCAUCUUUCUGAAAAUUAUGUUGUCGUUCCUGCAACAAUUUUACAAGGAAAAUGUAUUACAGAACUGGGCAAUCGAGAAUAAAAGGAACUAAAUUCAAUCAGACAAAAAAAUGAAGCCUCUUCGUAACCAUCUUUGUCAAACAACAAUGAUUUUGAUUUUACGAGUUGUGACAAGGUACAGACCUGUUCUGCCUUGAGCCAAAGACGGGUCAACCGUCCAAGAUUCUUUCUACAAACUGUCUUAUCAACAGUAGCCCCUCUUCUGAUACGUUCACGAUUGUAGUGAGCAACAUUUGUCCACCAAUCAGCUUUAGACUUGACAUAUCGGAGGAUCAUAUUCUCAAUUGCCACAGGUAAUCCAGGGACCUUCCAUGGUAUAUUAGCUUUCCAACACCGCCAUGCCUCACUAAGGUGCUGCAAUAUCGUCCGCGCCUUAUUUUGCUUAAUACCCUCUGCACAUUAGAAGACAGUAUAAACCAACAAGGAAGAGAUAAAAUUAAAGGAAAUCGACCUUGAGAAAAACAAAUCAGUUAUAGACGCAAGAAGCGAACCUGGCAUUGCAUCAACAACAUCAUGCAUGACAGCAGCUCGAAGCUCCAAAUCAAAAUGGCUUUCAACUCUCUGUUUUGUGACUGUUUUGGCCACUCCCUUUGAGUGACGCCCCUCAAAUUGACGUGCAAGCAGAUUCCCUAACCAUCGUUCUAGAAGAGGAACUAUUCCGCGAAGGAAAAACAACCAUACCCUCCACAUUGGAGCCCAAAAUCCACACCCUGGUCCUUUACCCACAGGACCAGUAUUGAAACGGUAAUAGAUCAAGUGUUUCAAAUCCUUGCACAUCCUGAUUUGUCUCAUAAGCCUGUACUUAUAACGAUACAUACCUGUCAAUUGCCCAACAUGGGAGAAAAUAUAUUGCAGGCCAUCAGCCAAUUGAAAGGCAUCAACAUUACCAAGUCGGAACUGGACAUUUGCAUCAACUACAAGUUUUGUCAGCCGGAGGAUCUCACGGCAGAGAUGGAAAGCAUUUCCAAAACGCGACUUCUUUCGUUCCUUGGUUGUCAGAGUUUUCACAGGCUUGAGGUUGAAGUUAUAAUCAAGGUGCAGGUAGUUCAAAUUCUUCCUGUGAAUCAACAGGUUCAGCAUAUUAUACCCCUGCCGGCAGACUUGCAGACCCACUUCAACCCAAUCCAGUUCGGUGCUCUGAAAAAACUUUGUAGCUGCAAGAGAUCGAAACAAAUGCUUCUUCUUCUGAGCCUUAGGGGGUCUAUGGUGCAGCUCAUUCAGUAGAUAACAUUUCAAAAGCUUCUGGUAACUAACCCGAACUUUGACAGGAUAUGCUGGAGGACUGCAGAAAAUGAGAUAACUAAGAAGUUAAUACAAUGUCUAGUAAAUUUCAAAAGGGGAAAGAGAACCACAGUAGCAUCAGAAAAAUUAGCUUACCAGUGCUCCUUAAACCACUCUGCAACAAGGGGUAUAUCUUCAGCCCGCCGAGUCCUCCCAGACCUCAUAUUGAAAGGCCGAGGGGCAAACAACAAUGAAAUGCCAGGAGCUGUAGUGUCAGUGUAGAGUGGCGAGUUAUUUAGCAAAGGUUCCAGUCCUUCUGGUAACACAAAGUCAUCCCCAUCAUCAUCAUAACCAUUACUUUUGCGCUGUUCUUUAUUAGUGUUAUUAGAGUUACUUAUGGGGUGAAUUAAUGGAUCAUAAUAAAAGGCAGGAAGGUCAGGAUCCUCAGUCUUUAUGUACAUAACCAUAGGAGUGUGAUAGACACAGAGUUUUACUUUCCUGGGCCUAUUAUUGUACAGAUGUGGGAAAGCUACUUUGUACUCAGUUCGCAGAGGGGAUCGAAUUAUAAGCUUGUUGAUGUCAUUAAAUUCAUUCCAGUCUUCAUCUCCUUUCUCCAUAUCACGAUGCAAAGGCUCAAACUUAGGACCGCCUGAAAAAGAGUACCAAAUUGAAUCAGGGAAAGAGAACAGAAGGACAACAACUGUGAAAACGAAGAUAUCAGAACAGGAGAACAUAGAGUAUAGCGUUACCUGGUAUGCACAUGUUCAGUGCCUUUGCAGUAAAGAAUGAUGGCAUGUCAAACAAGUAGAAGUAGUUGCGAUCAACCAAAUCAGACAACAACUGGGCUGCAAGCCUGUGAAGGGUUGACAUAAUUGGAAGUGAGAGAUUCCACGUCUGGUAACUUGGACCAUUGAUCAUUUUUGUUUUUACAAGUGGCUUGUGGUCGUAAAACCAAGAGUACACAGCAGAAUCUUCUUCUUCAUCUAGCUCCAACUGAAUUGCCUCUAGAGGAUCAACGUCCAACAGGUUAUCAGCAUAGUCUAGAGGGGGCUCCUCAUCAUCAAAUGGUGGAAACCGCAUUCUCUUGAAAUGACGACGAUCCCUCUUCUCCCUUCUCAUCAUUAUCCACAUAGAACCCCACUGCAAACGAAAGAAUCAUCACUAGAAAACAUGUCUCACAAAUUCACAAAUGCACAGACACAAAAGAAGAGAGAGGGAGAUUAUUCACCCACCUGAGCCAUGUAAAUAGGUUCCACAACCCAUCGUACUUCGUUCACAAAUGUAAUAGCUCCAGUGAUGUGGUACAAGACCUUCACGUCCCGGACCUGGAAAAUAUCUGAGUUCAAAAUUUUGAGCAGAGCAGGAGAACAACUAAAGCGAGAUAUAGAUCACUAAGUGAAUAAUUACCUGUUCCCAGGGCAUAGGCAUAUUCUCCAGGAGCUUGAAAACUGCGUGAGGAACGAACUUAAGUGCUCCAAGAUAUACACGUUUAUCAAGUCGAUGUUUCUUUGAUGACAUAUCACCAUGAUCCCUGAAUCAAAACGCAGAGUCAGUUUCAAUCUAACUUAACCCAAACCUAAUAAUACAAAGAAAUUGGACCAGAUUCGUUUCCCAGUCAACUGGAUUUCGAAAUCGAAAUUGAAAAAUUAGAAACUCGCCUGAUGAUUUUCCUAACGUGCUCAGGUGGCAUGUCCUCCUUCUGAGUUUCCACGAACCCAAACUUCCUCUUGUCGCCGUACCGUUUGGAAUUUAGCUGCAUCCAUGUUCUCGCCUUCUUCUCAAGCUUCGCCUCUGCAUCCUCGGGAGUAGGAACCGUCGGAGUAUUCCGAUUAGAAGGCGCCGUGUAAGAAGGAUGAUCAGCGGGAUGUGAAGGUGUCUGCAUCCUCGAACCGUCGGUACCAGGAGGAGCUAAGGACGUACCAUCAAUGUUCCACAUAGCUUCAGAUUUCAAAUCCAAAGGCCCAGCAAAAUCGCCGAGGAGCAAAACCCUAAAACCUCAGUGCGAGCCUUGACGAACACGAAAAUCCCUAAAAUCACCGUCGUCGGGUGAGGUUGGUAAGAAAGACGAUUAACCGAACGAACAUAUAUAUACGAAGGCAUUCAUGGGCCUUUUAGAAAAACAAUAGAUACGAUUAUGGGCCUAAUUUAUGGAUUCAGUCACGGCUCAUUUAGUAUUUAAGAGUAAGAGAUGUGUGGAAGGGGUGAUUUGGUAAUUUACAUUCAAGUCAACCAAAACCAGACUUUUUAAUCUCUCUCGAUCAGAAGUUACCUUUUUCACUUUUGCCGAGAAAAUCAGAGACAGAAGAAGAAGAAAAGCGAAAAAAAGCAAAACAUGAAGGCGACGACGAAGACUCCGAUCCACGUGGUGUGGUCAUGGGUUAGGAGACAACCUCCGAAGGUGAAGGCUUUUCUCGCCGUGGUCACUGGCAUGGCGGCUUUGGUUCUUCUCAGAUUCAUUGUUCACGAUCACGACAAUCUCUUCGUUGCCGCUGAGGCUGUUCAUUCCAUCGGGAUCUGUGUGCUCAUCUACAAACUCAUGAAGGAGAAGACCUGUGCCGGUACUAUUCUAUGUGUCUUGUCUUUAUCACAUCCAUUUUUAGGGUUUUUCAACUCAGUCCUGCCUUAUCAGCUUCUGAUCGUAUGUAUUCCUCUGUUCUUAGCAAAAUUACUUUUCAACGUCACAACUUUUUUGUUUUUCCUCAUAAUCGCGUCCAAAUUUUCGAGCUUUGAUCAGGAUUUCAUUGGUUUACCACUAUUAUCUGCUCCCGGAAGCAGCCUUUAGCCGUAAUUCGUAGAAUCAUCAUCUUUAUAAUCAAGGAUUCAAUUGGCAAUUUAGGGUUUAAGAUGCAUUCUAUGGUUCUUUUUUUAAAUCGAAAGUGUUUACCUUCGAUGUGUUUAUAUAACUUUGUGAAUGAUUUUGCAGGAUUGUCACUGAAAUCUCAGGAGCUUACGGCGAUAUUUUUAGCUGUUAGGCUGUAUUGUAGCAUUGUAAUGGAAUAUGAUAUACAUACCAUUCUUGACUUGGCUACUUUGGGAACAACUCUCUGGGUUAUAUUUAUGAUUCGUUUCAAGUUAAGAGCUAGUUACAUGGAGGACAAAGACAACUUUCCUCUCUAUUAUGUGGUAAGUCAAUCUGGUUUUGAUCCUCGAGUUGUUUGUUAUCAUUUACAGUGACAAUGAUCUGAUUUCAAUUUUUGCAGCUUGCGCCCUGUGUUGCAUUAGCUGUGUUCAUCCAUCCAUCGACCUCUCAUAACAUAAUAAACAGAAUUUCAUGGGCUUUAUGUGUAUACCUUGAAGCUGUUUCAGUACUACCUCAGCUACGAGUGAUGCAGAACACAAAGGUCACUACUUUAUUUCACAAUGUCAAGUAGAGAACUACAUUUGUUUUACUCUCUAAUCCGCGUCUAUUUGGUUUUCAGAUUGUUGAACCGUUCACGGCUCAUUAUGUUUUUGCACUUGGAGUAGCAAGGUUCCUCAGCUGUGCCCACUGGGUUUUACAGGUUAGUUUUGAUCUUCAAGAGUGGAUAGAGGUUAUACCAAUAGUGGUGAUUCCUAUACUCGAUUGGAUUAGUACCUUAAAAGUCGAUUUUGAAUAGCUGAAUACAUUGUCUAAUGUGCUGAAAAUAGGUUGUGGACACGCGGGGACGGUUGCUUGUAGCAUUGGGUUAUGGAUUGUGGCCAUCAAUGGUUCUGAUCUCAGAAAUUGUUCAAACUUUCAUCUUGGCAGAUUUCUGUUACUACUACGUCAAAAGGUACGCAUUAGUCCUUCACUUCAACAGUUUAGCUAUUUAGCUCUUUGUAUAUAUCUCAAAAGUUUCAACAUUUUUCUUUACAGCGUUUUCGGAGGCCAGCUUGUUCUCCGGCUACCGUCUGGAGUAGUAUAAGUUCAAAAGAUAGAAAUACCCCAACGAUGUCCUGCGAUGAGCUUGACGGAAAUUCUAAUUGGGAAAGAUAGCUCAAUUUUUCUUUACCUCUGAUUUCAUCGUUUAUGUGUCUUGAGGUUUCACCAAGUGUCUCGGUUACGAAUUAAUUUUACAGUGUUGUAUAUUUUGCCUAUCAAGGGAUUUAACGUCUUUCAGGUCGAUAAGUUAUCUUUGAAAUUGUUUCUUUACCAAAAUUUAAGCAACACUAGGGAGAGAACGUCUUAUAACUUGAAAUUUAUUAACGAGAAAUAUGAUCACUGGAAAUCAGUGAAACUGCAACAAGCACGUUGAACGCAUUUUAAAAAAUCACUCUCCAUAAAAAAGGAAGAGAACAGAAGUUAAAGGUCCGAAAGGUUUCUCCCAUUGAUGAAGUUGAUCACUUUAGUAGCAGUUCCCUCUAAUGCAGCGGUCACAACUGUCAAGUUCUGCAAGAACUCUUCUGCUGUAGGUUUAUCUCCGUCCACUAGAUCGGUCACGGCUUUGAGGAACACGACUGGUAUUUUCAGAAGAUCAGCCACAUACGCCACGGCAGCACCCUGAAGAAUCCAGAGCCAAAAGAGUUUCAAAACAACAGUUUCAUUGAUUUUCUGGUUAGAUUCAGUAAUAAGAAUUGUUAACAUUACACUACCUCCAUGUCCUUUAGCGUAGCAUCAUUGGCAAUGAUCAAUGUUUCAUCUUGCGUGGACAUAUCCAACGAGUCACCAGUAGAUAACCUGCCAAUCUGAACCACCCCAAUUUUGUCAAAAUUGAAAUAGUUAAAAGAGUAAGUAGCAUCUUGAGUCUAUUAAAUACCUUCAAAUUGAGUUCCUUGAGGAGAUUGGGUGUCGAGAAUGCCUGACGGAGACCAACUCCAUACAGAUCAAACAUCUAGAGAGAUAAACAAACAUUGCUCAGGAACUUGCAAGAUGAACUGGCAAAAAGGGAAUCAUCACUAAAGAUGGAAAAAAGAAAGAAAGGAAGAUGAACCUACCGGAAUUGGUAUUCUUCUAUCAUGAAACACAACAUCAGAUACAAGGAAUACAUCGCCUAUGUUGGCUCCUUUGACCUGCAAAUGUUCAGCCAAUCAGCACUUUCAUUACAUGAAAAUAAACCAACUUUCACAACAUAAAAAUAGAGAUAUGGAGAGAGAGAGAGAUCUUUUAUGAUGCAACUCAAAUCUCAGAGUUGAGUAAACGAGCAGUAACAAAAUCAAACCCAAACCACAAGUAAAGAAAGAAGAGAGGACGUGGUUCUUAGCAAGGAUGCUGGAAGUCAAGACAGAGCACACGAGAAGUAAAAGAACUGUACCUUGAAGCCACCGCAGGUUCCGGCAUUGAUUAUGAUGUCAGGUUUUAAUGCUUGGAUGGAAGCAAAAGUUAUGAGAGAAGCUGGAACAGUUCCAACACUAUCGAUCCCUGGAGAGAAAUCUCAGUUAGUAGCAUAAAAAAAGUGCAUUCAUUUUCCCUCAUACCAAACAAUGCAGCGACUUGAGAAACCAAAGCUACUAUACUAAAAUGCUGAGAGAUUCACAGGCUAAUUAUCAUAUCUUUGAGAGCAUUGAGUGCAAAGCUUACCUAAAGCUGCAUCUCUUCCGGGGCAAACUACAUUGAUUCGAAGAUCUUUAUGCACGCCGUGAUACAGAACCCAGGGCAAUCCUUUACCAAGCCUGCAAAAAAGUAAACUUUGAAGUGAGAGAUUCAUGGAGAUCAAAUCCAAACAAGCAAAAUCGAAAAAAGGAGAGCUCUUAACGGCGAAUCAGUAGUUUCAGAGAGUCCGAACUUGUUGACCAAAGGAAGAGCCUCCGCUUGCAUAGCUGCAGCUCCGUCAGAAACACACAAAAAGUAAGUAAGAAGACGAAGAAGAAAUCGAUCGAAUCGGAAACUUCAUAAAUCAUAAAGUACCGAUGACGAAGACGACUGAGGAGAUCGGUCGAAGAAUCUCCGAUUGAGCAUCGACCUCAGGUUCUUCGAUGUCACUUAAUCCAUCUCCAUGAGGAGCCAUAACCUUAUCCCUCUCUUCCGAUUCUCGGCGAUGCGUUUGAUUCCCAGGAAAAAUCCGAGAAUCGGAAAGAAACGGCUGGAAACUCCGGCGAAUGAGAGAUACAGUUUAUUCGUUUUUGGACCUUUUGGUCCUCUUUUGUGUUUCCACUUACCAAUAAUAAUAUAAUAAAAACAAAUUAUUUUUUUGUGCUAAUGACCGUAAUUAAUUAAAUUUAGCUAAGUUUUUGUACUAAUCUGGUCUCCUUGUAGUUUUAGCCAAGCUCUUGUAAUCAAAUUUUCAAAUUCUUCAAUUAACUUCAGAAUAUUUAUUUCACACUUUUAAAGAUAACUCAAAUGUUUCAUCAUAGCCAUUCAAGCAUCAUAAACGUAAACAAAUUUUAACGAAAUUAAAAAACAGAGUAAACAUUGCAUCCCAUGGUCAUUAGAAAAAAAAAAAAAAAGGCAUGAGUAGAAUCACCACACCAACAAGAGGAAACCCCAAACUUUCAAUUUUAUACAUCUGAAAGUAAAGACGGUUUUCCUCAUUAAUCUAAAACUUUUGGGGGUAAACACUCAAAAGUCAAAACCAUAUAACAUUUGUUGCUGCUAGUGCUGCUUAUUCCCUUCUAUGAUUAGUUUGAAGGCUCCUCUGUAUCAGUCGAAGUUGACGGCAGAAAGGUAGCCGAGGUGAGCGGCUCGUGAACCACCGAGUUAGAGGAAACCGAUAUGGGACUACCCUCGAGCUGCAACAUUAUACUCCCCAAUAUCUCUGCCAUUGUUUUCUUAAACUCUUCUUCCUUCACCACAUUUCCAUCAUCUCCAUUCACCAUCUUCAACGCUUCCAUUAUCAUAUUAUCCAUCUUAUAAACAAAAACAAACUUAACUAAUCAAUGCCGUUCAAAAAAUAAAAAUAAAAAUUCACUAAUAAUUUUUGAUUAAAACACUAAUUCUGGUUUCAUUUGUUUAACAAAUAAUUGUAACAUGUAAAUUCAAAGGCAAAAUAAACAAUUUAAAAGACAAAAUAAUUUAGACGGGGCAUUAUUUACCUGGGACACAGCGCCUAUUGGUGGUAAAGUGGCCGAUGGUGCAACAGUGUCAAGCACAGCUCGUAGAUAUCCUUUAGACACCUUACCCUGACGGUCUUUUGGAAUCGUCUCCAUGGCAACGUUUAGUGCCUGCGACCAAACCGUUCCGGAUCAUCAUCACUCGUUACCAUCAUUUAAAAAGUUUUCCUUUAGCAUAAAAGCUAGAUAACAUAUAUAUGUAUGGUAGUUUACCUUAUCGAAUUCGAAUUUAUUGGACAAGAGCCUCCUGAUACCGCUCCCAUCAAAGGUGUUUUCGCUGUGAGCAACGAUCACGGGCUGUUCAUUGAGACGCUGAGCCACACUCUCCACGACUCUCUUGAAUGCUUCCAAGAAUCUCUCCUGAGACGCGCUUUUCUCUCUUUUAUCUUCUUCAUCAAGACAAGAGUCAACAAUUGGUUCUACGAUGUUGCUCAUCACCUGUUACAAGGACUUUGCUUUUUAGGCAAAACUCAGUUGUCUCUAGCAACAUAUAUAACAUCAAAUACGAACUUGGAUACAUAUUACGUAUCAUAUGUACUCCCACCAUGUAAGUAUCGUUCUGAUAUUUUGUACAACAAAAAAAAAACACCCGAAAAGUAUUUUUACGGUUUUGGUAAAAAUACAAAAACAAACGGUUCUUAAUAUUAUAUGCUUUAUUUUAUCAAUCAUAUAAAUUUAGAUUUGAAGUUAAAUUAGGAAAAUCCAUAGCUUAACAGAAAUAUAUAAAAAUAAAAUAAAUAGGUACCCAUGGGUCGUUGGAAGGAGGCAUUCCAUGAUCAACAGAAAGAGACUGGAGAGCUUUGACGAUACAAUCACGGAGCGAUGCGUCCUUGCUACUGGAGAGCUCUGAGAAAACAGAAAUGCUCUCGAUUUCAUAUCCAGGGCCGUGGACAAACUCCGAGAGAUCCUCACCGUCCAUCCUGAGGAUGACGAUAGGAUCACGUUUCAGACCAGCAGCCAUACCCAACAAAAUGUCCGACAACACUUCUUUGAACUCUGUCUUGCUCACUUUCUCUUGACUCCCAUGAGUGAAUUCGUUUAGGACCUGUAUAUAGUUUAUUAUAACGUUACAAACGAUGAAAAAUAAAUGUACGGAUAAGACAGCUAGAGGGUUAUUGGUUUAAUCUCGUUGUCUCUUCUUUAAAUACACCAAAAGCUAAACCUAACGAUAAGUAAUUGGAUACUGAUUUGUAUCCACUAAGAGAGAGAUUCGUAUUCAGAUUUACUACUUCUU
rnacentral:lncRNA from 1 species